AAAUAAAAUAAAAUAAAAAAAGGAAGCUUAGCAAACUUUUGAAGGGGUUCACAAGUGAAAGAGAGAGAGAAAGCUAUCAACCGACCCAGAAAACUCGACCCAAACCCAAGAACUGACCCAAUCGUAUUUCACAAUUCUGGCCACGUGACUGGCCGAAUAAGGUAUUGAUCAGAAGCUUGAAGAUCGGCCAUCAUAUCCUAGCCAUCAUCGCCGCCGAAGAACAACUAAAACGACAGCAAUCAAAGCUUGAAAACCCACGACUUUUCCAACUUGCUUCGCCACGAUUUUUGCCAGUUUUGGGUGACACCACCUGCUAAGUUUUGUUUCCCACAACCCCUUCUUCAAUUUCAAACCAUCCACAGCCACUGGGGGAGCUGAUUUGCUGUCCAUCAGCCAUUGAGAGAUUUACGAUUGUUGAGCUAAAUUUCGAUGCCGGCGCCACGCGUGGGAGCUCACUGUCGAUACCAUUGAAUUCAGUUUGGCCAGAAGUGUCUAAUCCAAGCUUUUCGGUCACUGCCGCUUGAAUUUCGGUCACCGUUGACUGUCAAUGAUAAUACGGUAAUUUCAUAUUUUGAGGCAAUUUUGUAAUUGUUGACCCUAUAUAUAUUUUAGUAAUUUUUAAAAUCAAGGAUUGAUUGUAAUUAUGAUUCCGAGGAUAAUUCGGUGAUUUGCAAUUUUAGAGUAUUUUAAUAAUUUAUGGAUGUGAGGGUAUUUUGGUAAUUUUGUUGACACUGGAGUUGUACAUUAUUAAUAGAUGCUCAUUUCGAGUUUAUCGAAUAAAUUUAGUCCUAACUCUGAUUUACUGAAAAUAAUUAUGUUGUUUCCUUGAUAGGGAAGGAUCUGCGAGCAAGAACCAGUCCGUGGACGUGGACGAAAACCGAAUCUGAACAUCGUCACUGUAAGUGGAAUAUACAAAACCUAUUUUCAUAAUAUAUUAUGAUUUUACGAUAUAGUACAACAUAUUUGAUAAAUAAGUAUUUAAUACUUCAAUUUAAUGAUUUUCUGGGAAAUGGAUUAUUAUCUACAUGUUGUUAUUUAUUAUUAAAAAUGCGUAUGAUUAAUGAUUUUAUUAUCGAUUUUGAGUAAAUGCAUGACAAUAGUUUUUAAAAAAUAAAGUGGAUUUAAAGUAUGUAAAUGGAAAAAGAAAUGAGAUUUAAAGUAUGAUUAUACGUUUAUGUAUAUGUAUAUAAAAGGUUGUUUGCAAAAUCAUUGGAUAAUACCCUUCUCCCGAUACAGUGAUACAUUUAUGAUGAGGCCUUUGGGGCCCAUCUGAACACACAUAGAGGCUUUAGCCCGUGUGUUUGGGCGCUUCUGCCUUUUAGAGGCAUAUACAUGUGAUAUAAUGAUAACAGUGACACAGAUACAUAUGAUACAGAUGAAAUACACGUCUUUGGUCAUAUCUGAGCACACAUAGAGGCUUUGGACAGUGUGUUUGGGCACUUUUGUCCUUUAGGGACUAGAUUAUGCAUACACAUAUAUGACGGGAUGUGAGAUGACACUCCCUUAUUUAUCCGUGUAGCUCCGGGGCAUGACGAUACCUACAUAAUAGGUUAUUGCCCAUCCGUUGAGGUCCGGAUACGACGAGAUUAUUUCCUUGGGUACUUGUUUAGUGAUGAUUUCAUAUUUGUGUAUUUUAUAUGAUAUUGUGAUAUGAUUUCCAUGGUUAAUACAUAUGAUAUUAUAUAUGCUCUUCAAGGUUAGUAAUCUGAUUUAUAUGUUAAAUGAUUUAUUAAUGUUUUCUCGUAUAUGAUUUGAUGAAAUCCUAUUUAGAAAUGAUAUAAUUAUUUUUUUAAAAGUAAAAAUUUAUUUUCAAAAUUAUUAUCCACUCACUGAGCUCACUAAGUUUUAUACAUAUCCCAUUUUAUUAUAUCCCCCCCCCCCCAACAAGAGAUUGCAGGUACACCAAAUCGACCCAAAGACUGUAAAUAUUUUGAAUUUUGGUCACAUGAUAGUGUUAUAAGAUAUAGAUGAUUUUUGUUAGGACAUCCAAAUCAUCUUUUUUUUUUUUGGAUUGUAAAAUUUUGUUGUAUUAUUCUUUUGAGAUUAAGAAUAAACCAAUGUAUGUUAAUAUUAGUUAUAAUAUAAAUUUUGAUACUCUGGAGAUAUCUUGGAUAAAACUCAGUAUUUUGGUUGAGGGUGUUGAUCAUUGGAGUUUGUUGUAUAUUGAAUUAUUUAAGGGAGUGCUUGUUUUACAUAUUUGCAGGCUAGAAGUGUUAUAUUUAUAAAGGAGACUUUGCUGAAUUUUUGGAAGAAUUCUUACUAAUUAGAUUAUUGUCAAUCCAAUUUUGAUGAGAUUAGAUAGACUCGCCCUAGGGAUUCGAGGUGGCUCGUUUCACCAAAUGUAAAAGAAGUUUGGAUUAUCAGCCUGCAUUUUUUAAAACUAGUCUUGUACUGCAGCAGGAUCUCAUUUUUCAAGUCAUAAGCAUCUUUCUUUAUUUAGAUAGUUUCUGGUAUCUUUAUCUGAAAAGAUAAAUUCUCAUAUCCC
rnacentral:lncRNA from 1 species